UUAUCUUCUGGCUCCCCAAGUGUCUGCAACACCUGGAACUGGGGAGCAGGGCCCUCGAUCCAGAUCUCCUGCUCGGGUGGCAGGAGCCCAAUCACUUGAGCCAUGCAUGGCUGCCAGGUCCCAGGAUCUGCAUUGCAGGAAGCUUGAAUCAGGAGAGGGAGCUGCGGUUUGGACCCUGUGGGCUCCCUUCUGAUGAGUGGUUCGGGUCUCAGCUCACUCCUCACCUCCCCAUCAUUCAGUCCAGGCAGGGAGGGCUCUGGGAUGCCACUGCUACCUGCCUAUCAUUGGGUCCCCGAGGGAGAAGUCAUUCUCAGAAAGUGGGCACUGGCAGGAGGAGGCCUGGUGCUCUGGGCUGUCCAGGGCUUUGCUCUUACUGAUUGCCUUUUUGCUCCACAGAGGUGGUUUGCCCGGAUAGGAGGCAUCCACUAACCAACCACUCUCCUUUUGUGCUGAGGUUUUCUGCUGGCUUUUUGAUAUUUGCCUGGGAGGCAAAUUCUUCGGAGAGGGGCAGGUGUUCGGUGUGGUGGUCGGGAUGCCAGUUGGGCUGCCUCUCUCCAUGCUGGAGCGCCUGGGCCUGAGUCCCGGGGCCACUUCCAGCUGCCUGCUAACGUGCACUUGGGGACACAGCAGGUGACAGCUCAGGUAUUGGGGUCCCUGCCACCAUGUGGGAGACCUGGACUGCAUUCCUGGCUCCUGGUGCUGUCUUGGCUGUUGUGGGCAUUAGGGAAGUGAACCAGCAGAUCUCUCUUCCUCUGUCUUUCUGUGUCUAAAAUAGAUUUUUGCAAGAAAAAGGCACAGAGAAUAGGGAGCAUCAGGUUGGCCCGGCUUCCUUUCUGCCCUGCGAGGGCGAGAACACCUUCCUGCCUCGGAGUCUCACGGCAGGGCUGGGCUUGGCUUCCCAUUGCAUGGCUCGUAUGAGUGCUGAGUCUCUUUUCUGGGCCAGGAACAUUCUGGAGACGCAAGGAUGACUAAGAGGUUUGCUGUGCAGACUCCCAGCCCAGUGGAAGUGAGCGCACAGGUGCAGGCCGCGGCUGGUGUGUUUUAUUGAAUGAGGUCACAUCAUCAUUUUGUAUCCAUAUGGUUAUAUGUCACUGGAGCCUUAUCAUGCAGGCCUUCCCCCCUCUCAGUGCUCCUGGGACUUUGUAGGGGCAGCUGAUGUGAUCCUGAUGGUCGCUUGGCAGCUGAGCCGUGCCGGACGGGAGCUGGGUCUACAGGCAGGCCCGGGAGCCUAGCUGACUUUGGUUCUGUUGGGCUGUAGGGGCCCUUGUCCCUGCAGAGCCUCAGGGAGCGGAACAUCUCUCCCUGCCAGGUGAAUAGCUAUGGCCUCGCCAUUCUGGGCAGGGCUGGCUUCCUUCCAAGGAUGUCUGGUGCCUGUAGGCGCUCACCCACGCUCUCCCUCCGUGCUGUUUCUGUGUCGAGAGCACACAUGACCAGACCCAAAAUGCGCCGCUCCAGCCUCAAACACAGCAGCUUCAGCCUUGAACAGCACCUGCACAGGGACGUCAACAGUGCAGUCUUGAGCUUUGCCUGCACAGGCGUCUACCACCCCCCUUAGCGGGAGAGGCGGAAGGGCAGCAGGACCAUCCAGCCCGGGCCACGCACAGGAAGCCUUUUCCGCUGCACGGACGGCUCUCCCUAGCCCCCCGGGGACGCCAGCUGCCUGGGCCAGCUCCACAUCUUCACGGCAGACGCACACGUGUGGAUUUUGCUGAAAAGAAAGGACCGUCACCUCCCAGAGGGGAAUUCCAUUCUUGCAAAAUAGACUGGCUUGAAGCUUUGAAAACACAGGUUCCCUUUCGUGCCCAGUCUGUAGGGGUCUGAAGGACCUCGGGAAGGGACCGGUUAGCUGCCGCUUGCGACGCUGACGUCCCGAAUUGGAGAGCUCCGUCCUGGCUGCUUGGCUUCCGAUCCAGCUUCCUGCUCGUGUAUCCCGAGAGGUAGCAGAUGAGGGCCCGCGUGCAUGGACCCCUGGCACCCCCAUGGGAGACCUGGAUGCAGGCCCUGGCUCCUGGCUUUGGCCUGGCCCAGCCUCUUGCUGUUGUGGCCAUUUGAAUAGUGAACCAGCAGGUGGAAGAGUCUCUCUCUCUCAAUCUCUCUAUCUCUUUCUCUCUUUCCAUACCUGAGAGUCUGGGUUUGAUUUCAGGCUCUGGCUCUGGCUUGCAGAUUCCUGCUAAUGCAGACCUUGGGAGCAUGUGGUGAUGGUUCAGGUGACUGGUUCCCCUACCUAGGUGUGAGACCUGGAUUGAGUUCCUGGCUCAUGGCUUCAGCAUCAGCCUAGCCCCAGCUCCAGCCAUUGCAGGCGUUUAGGGAGUGAAUCAGCAGGUGAGGGCUCUGUCUUGCAAAUAAAAAAUAAGUAAACUUUAAAAAUACGCAAGUGGGGCUGGCGCCGCAGCUCACUAGGCUAAUCCUCUGCCUUGUGGCGCCGGCACACCGGGUUCUAGUCGCAAUCGGGGCGCCAGAUUCUGUCCCAGUUGCUCCUCUUCCAGGCCAGCUCUCUGCUGUGGCCAGGGAGUGCAGUGGAGGAUGGCCCAAGUGCUUGGGCCCUGCACCCCAUGGGAGACCAGGAGAAGCACCUGGCUCCUGCCAUCAGAUCAGCGCAGUGCACUGGCCGCAGCGCGCUGGCCACGGCGGCCAUUGGAGGGUGAACCAACGGCAAAGGAAGACCUUUCUCUCUGUCUCUCUCUCUCACUGUCCACUCUGCCUGUCAAAAAAUAAAAAAAAGAAAAAAAUACGCAAGUGGUUUACAUUUUGAUCUAUUGGAUGGUGGUGCUACAAGGAGCAUGAGCCGAACGGCCCAGCAACACAGAUAAACUUCUGGGGGCCCAGUCCUCUCCCCCGAGGGUCACGGGCUGUCAGCCUGCUGAGGACGCAGAGUGAAAUGAGAUCGGUCCUUGCCGUGGGGACUCUAGGAGAGUAGCGCCACUGAGGGGCGCCCUGGGGGUGCCCAGCCGCUGCCCUGCCCCUGCCUCUUCACACUUUGUCCUUGUGUGUGGCUGUGACCUUUAGCCACUCUCAGACCUUUGACCCCGGCUCCCUGGCCUGGUUAUUUUUCUUUCCUCUUUUCUCUCUGGGCUUGGGAAUUCUGAGAACAGACUUCUGAUUCCUUCUCCCAGGCUUUCUUGGGCUCAGGGCUGCCCAACGCACUCACGACUCCCAUCUCCACCCCCUCUGCAAUCUGCCCCCAGUAGAUUGCAUUCGGGAGCCCAGGGGUCUGGGUCCAGGUCACCUGGGGUUCACUGACCUCUUGUUCAGGAGACAAGAUGUUGGCCUGGUUGCGGGACUGGGAGAAGAGGCCAGGAGAGAAGCAGCCCCCUCCCAGGAAGGAGCCCGGGGCCUCUGGAUGAACCCCAUGGCAGGUGCGGGGUGCAGCCGGCACCACUACCCUCUAGCGGCCUCCUGACUAUGUCUGCAGCUCUGACCAGCUCAACACCAAGAACUCAGCUUUCAGUGACAAAUUUCCUGGGUCCAAGAGACGUGCUACAGAUACCAGCAGUGUGUGAACCAAAGAUAUUAAAUUAAUAAAGAAAUAUAAAUCUAGAAAACGCAGCCAUGACAGAGGGAGGCCAGACUUGCCCGGGGGCCGCUCUGGGGAGCUGUGACGAUGAAGGGGGACGGUCCUUUCUGACCCUGCCCUAGACUUCCCAGGCCCUGUGCUCCCUGCUCCUGGGCCGUGCUCACCUCCCGCCCCUCUCAGACAUGCCUGCGUUCCUGCCCCCUGCCUUCGUGGCUCUUCCCAGCCCCUGGGGUGCCUUCCUAAGCCAGGUCUGCUCAGAUACCCACACCCUCCUUUCAAGUCAAACACUAUGGUUCCUUGAAGCAUUUCCGGAUUAAUGACCAGAAAUGAGGCACCCAUGGGGGACACCAGUGGCCGCCCCUCCCCUGGGGUGGCCCUGAGUUGCGGUGUUGCCUGACCGGGGACUCUGCCAGGAGCAGGGUUGUGCCAGUGCCUCGGUUCCAUUGUUGUUAGUGACCUCUCGCCUAGCACUUCUUGCUCUGUGUCUGUGGCUUUCUCCCCUGAUAAGUACUUUUAUAUUUUUAUAAUAUUUAUUUGUUUGAAAGGUAGAGUUACAGAGAGAGAAGGAGAGAGAGAGAGAGAGAGGUCGUCCAAUCCACUGGUUCACUCCCCAAAUGGCCGCAACAGCCAGGGCUGGGCCAGGCUGAAGCCAGGAGCCAGGAGCUUCCUCUGGGUCUCCCACGUGGGUAGCAGGGGCCCAAGCACUUGGACAUCCUCCCAUCCUCCACUGCUCUGCUAGGCCCACCAGCAGGGAGCAGCCGGGACUGGAACCAGCGCACACAUGGGAUGCCGCUGCUGCAGGUGGCAGCUGUACCUGCUGGGCCACAGCACCGGCCCCUCCCCUGAUAACUUCUAAGCCUCUCUUGAGAUUCCACACCAGGCCCAACCUACUGGGAUUACGGAGAUGAACCAACCGCAGCUGCAGGCCUCCAGCGAGCUGGGCGGAGAAGAGCCAGAGCUGCCAGCCUUCCUGGGCCGGCGGCUGCGUGUCCUGGCGUGGUGCGGAGCAAAGCAUGGAGGGCUCAGCGGUCAGCUCCGAGAAGCAUCCUGAAGAAUGAGAAUUACCUGGAGAACUUGUUAGAGAUGAAGUCUUUCUCCCAGAGAUCCAGACUCCCUCUGUUGAACAAAUGUCCUGGGAAAUCCUUAUGAUCCGACCUGCCCCCAGGAUUGUCGCUUCCCGCCUGCUAAUGAGCAGCCUUAGCCGUGAUUCAGGACCCCAGCUGGAACAGUCGGUUUAGGAACGUGCUCGCUCGCCCGUUUGCUCCCGCGGUGGUCCUCCAUCGGACGCUCCUGUGUGCGGCAUUGGAGAGCAGGUGGCAAGGACUCAGUGACACCAUCCAGCACCUCCCAGGUGAAUCUUAGCAGGAAGCUGGACGCGGAGAGUGGAGCCAGGACUCGAACCCAGUGCUCUCCUCCGGGACACGAGCUGUCUAACUGGCAAGGAAGUCAGGAGGCCAAAUGCCCAGCCCUUAGGUGACUUCAGAGUGGAGCCACGGGUAAAACUGUGUGUUAGGGGAACGGAAGUGGAGGGCGCCUAAAAUGAAGAGGAAGAAGAGGGGGGAGAGGAAGAAGAGGAGGGAGAGGAGCCGAAACUUAGCAUAGCCUGGAAGGUAAUCUGAAAGCAGUCAGCCCUCCCCGACGCACUUGAUUAGCGGUCAGUUUUCAGUUCUGUGCUUUGGGCUCCUCUGUCCACCAGAUCUGUCACAGUGAGAGAGACCAUGUAAAUUUCAUUGCCGUUCUGGUGCUUCCAUGAGUUUUGGGUUCAUGUUUGUGAUGCUUGUGUAUUUGGCACAUAAAUACCUUUUUGUGCUGGCACCCUUUGUUAUUAUUAUAAAUAUCCUUCUUUAUUUCAUUUAUUUAUUUGUUCUACCCAAAAUCCAGCUGGCUUGGUACCAUGAUCUUGAUUCCCACUUCCUCUUCUUUGUGUUUGCCCGGUAAUCUCUGCGACUUUGUUUUUGGUCUCACAGGGGUCUGAUCUUGGUAAUUGGGAGUCACUUGCGGAUAUUACAAAGCCUGAUCUGGCUUCACGAUUGGAGGACAGCACCUGCUUCCCUCUCCUCACUCUGGCCCUUACGUUUCCCGUCAUCCAGUCAGAUACUUCCUCGUGGUUAGCUGCCGUAGCCCGUGGGUGGUGCCAACGGCCCCACUGGUUUUGGUACCUUGUGGCAAGUUCUGCAAGGGUAUGUUUAGCGCCUUUAUUAUCAUUGUUAAAGAUUUAUUUCAUUGAAAGGCAGAGAGAGAGAGAGAGAGAGAGAGAGAGAGAGAGAGAGAGAGAGAAACUUGCAUCCACGGGUUCAUUUUCCAAAUGUCUGUAAUAGCCAGUGUUGGGCCAGGCUGUACCAGGAGCCAGGAACUCCAUCUGGGUCUCUCCAUGUGGGUGGCAGGAACUCAAGCACUUGGGCCAUCACCUGAUGCUUCCCAUGCACGUUAGCAGGGAGCUGGAUCAGAAGUGGAGCAGCCAGGUCUUGAACUGGUGUUCAGAUAGGGGGUGUGGCAUCCCAGGUGGCAGGUUAACCUGCUUUGCCAGAGCGUCCGCCCUAGCGCCAUUCUGUAGAAUGUGAGGGCAUGUUUUCCCUGUCAUUUUUCAGCAUUGAGUCUUGAGCUGAAGAAUCUGAGAUAAGGGGGAGGUCCCAUCCUGCUGCCUAUGGGAGAUACAGACCAAAGCACAUCGACCCGUGCUUGCAGAGGGGAUGGGAUGCUAAUGCUUCCUGCCAGGCACCGAACGGGAGGAGCCCCAGAGCGCAGCGAGGAAACAGAGCCUUUCAGCGUGAGAAGCCCGACCGUGGAGGCUGAGGGGCCUCCGGCAGUGUCCUCUGACGUGGGGAUGCAGGGUGCAGGCACCGUGCCUGUCCUCGGGGCGGAGGCCUGAGCGCCGGGAGCUGGGCAAUGCGGUGGGGGCUCCCGCACAGUCAUGCAAAAGCAGAAUGCUGAUUUAGGUGCCAGCGGAUUUUGAAAUCCAUGAGUAGAUUUUGUCACCAUAUUCAUUUUCCACGAACCGUUUGAAGACCUCUGGGUAGGCUGGGCAGCGAGAGGUGGGAAGCCGAACUGGGCUAGACCAGGGCAGGCUUUGUAGGAGAUGCAGAGAGAGGAGGUUGUGUUGUGAAGUCAGUGGGGAGCCAUGGAGGGUUCUUGAGCAGGAGAGUGACAAGGCAGACUUUUGACAGAAGUAACAACCAGCCUCAGAGACCUCAAGGGGCUGGUUUUUUUUAAGGCUGGCUCAAGAGGUAGUGGCUAAAAAUCCUUGAUUCUAGAAGUUUUCUAAUGCAGACAAAACUAGAGUUAUACAGUGAACAUCCAUGCACACCCCAUCAUCAGCCAACCUGGGUGCUGUCAUGUCAGGGCCAGUGUUUCAUUCAUACUCCCACCCCUCACUCCCUUCUGCGUCCUUUGGAGCAGGCGCCAGACAUCAGAUCAUGCACCGUAAACGCUUCGGCAAGUUUCUCUCGAAGGUAAGGACUCUUUCAAAGGUGUAACUUCUGUGCCACUGUCACACUUAGGAAAAAUGAAAUUGUUUAAUAUCAAAUCUCCAGUGAGAUAUUAAUAUUCUAAUUGCCUUAACAUUUUAAUGAUUUUUUAAAAAGAAUAUUUGCUUUUUUUUUAAAGCUUUAUUUAUUUAUUUGAAAGGCAGAGUUACAGAGAGAGAGAGGGAAAGACAGAGAAAGAAAGAGAUCUUCCAUCCACUGGUUCCAUUCCCAGAUAGCAACAAUAGCCAGGGCUGGGCCAAUCAGGAGCCAGGAACUCCAUCUGGGUCUCCCACAUGAAUGCAGGGGCCCAAGCACUCCGGUGUUUGGAGCUGGAUCAGAAGUGGAGCAGCUAGAUCUUGAACUGGUGCCCAUAUGAGAUGCCAGCAUCAUAGGUUAGCAGCUUAACCUGCUGUACCAUGAUGCCAGCCCUAGGCAAAUUUGUCUUAAAAUGUUUAAAAAUGUAUUUAUUAGGCAGAGGGCAGACAGUUCUCAUCUGUUGGUUUACUCCGCAAAUACCUGCCCCAGGGCUGGCCCAGGCUCAGGCCAGCAGUCAGGAACUCAGUCCAGGUCUCUGCAGGUGGCAGGCACCCACAUACUUGAACCAUCCUCUGCUGCGUGCCAGGGUGCACAUUAGCGGGAAGCUGGAAUCCAGAGUGGAGCCGGGCUCAAAUCCAGGUACUUCUAAAUGGGACACGGGCCUUGCAACUGGCGACAUGACCUCAGUACCAAGUGCCUGAUGCUGAACCCCGGGAUCAAGGUCAAGAGAGCUCACUGGCUGUUUCCUGGGAAAACCUGGCUCUGAUUCAUGGUUCAGAAAAACAGAAAUUAUCUUCGGAUUUUUAUUUCAGAGAAUCGACUUGGCCAGAAUCUCACUUGGAAUCAUUUUUAACAGGUGGCUUUGCGUGCACAAUGGUGUUCUGUAUGCGCAGGCAGACUGGGCCCCAGCCCAAGCCCGACUAGGGGGUGCCAGACAGCUGGGUCUUCUCUGCCCUGGGGGAGAGCUGUGCCAAGAGGUGCUUCCCAGCUGGUCCCCUUCAGGCACCUUGGAAUGAGUUUCCCCCACCGUGGAGUGACUCAGAGAGUGGGGAGAAAUGCCAGAGGUGGAGCCAGGCACAGGCCCGGGCGAAGCCUGUGAGGCCAAGCAUUGUACCAGUGAGAAACUGGGGUGACCCAAAUGCUACCCCCCAACCCCCGCCCCGACAAAGAGAGAAGAGAGGGGAAGGAAGGGGGAGGGAAUGGGAGAGGAGAGGAGAGCAGAGGCGGGGAGAAGAGAGGCGAGGCCAGGCAAGGCGAGGACAGACGCUUUCCCCCCUCCCACUCUGCGCCUCGGGCAGGUGUGAUCGCAAUGGCACCCAUCUCUAUUUUAUAGAUAAAGGCCAGGGAGGGGAGGGGGAAGGGCGGGACUCCCAAGGGAGCUCAGGAAGUCUCGCCCAGGGCAGCUUUGGCUGGGGGAGUGUGUCUGGGAGGGGGCCCUGCCCUGCUGCCCAGACACUGAGCACAUCCACGCCCCCAGCCUUGGUGAGACCUCCACACACACACACACGAGAUCAAUAAAACCAACCAGCCGGCCUGCCAACCACCGAGCAGCCUCAGCACGCACAGCUGGUGUGUGGCAGGUGGAUUUGAACCCUGCUCUGCCUGGGCUUCCGUUCUCAAUGGUGAUUCCUUAGUUUGGAGCCCUCACCGAUUCUGGCCUGCACUGUUAAAACAGGCUCCUGGCUAGCGCUGCAGCUCACUAGGCUAAUCCUCUGCCUUGCGGCACCAGCACACCGGGUUCCAGUCCCGGUCGGGGCGCCGGAGUCUGUCCCGGUUGCCCCUCUUCCUGUCCAGCUCUCUGCUGUAGCCUGGGAGUGCAGUGGAGGAUGGCCCAAGUCCUUGGGCCCUGGACCCGCAUGGGAGACCAGGAGAAGCACCUGGCUCCUGGCUUCUGAUCAGCCCGGUGCGCCGGCCGCAGUGGCCAUUGGGGGGGGUCCGGCAGCCUUCCCAUCCCUCAUCCAUCCAGCCAAUAGGUGUUGAUCAAGUGCUUAUUCUGUGUCGACUCUGCGUUGCCCAGCCCCCUAUUUUAUUCCUCUGAGAGCUUUCAAGAGUCUUUGGAGCCACCAGGGCAGCCCUCAGACCCCGUCCCACCCUGGGCAUCCACAGGGUCCAACAGCAGGCUCGUCUCACCCGCCCUGGGCAUUAAUCUGUCUUGCUCUGUGUAGGAGGGGGCUUUGAGAAGUUAAUGGAAAAAUGUGUAUUGUGAAAAACCAGUAUGUGGAUUUCAAUUUUCCAUUUGUACCCAAAUAAGCUGUUAUUUCUGCUUUUCGUGAACGUCUUAAAGCUGGCUCAUACAAGCGCUGGGCGAGCUGCACGAGGGCCGAGUGUUUGCAGUGAUGGCCGUGAGAAGCCUGGAGCGUGUUCUAGAAGGGCCCUUGUCACUUCUCUGCGGAACCCAGGGCCUUCCCGCCCUCGCUGGACGCUCUGCAGGGUUCCAGGCUCUACCCCGCCCUCCUCCCACCACCUUCACUCCCUGUGUGCCCACGGGGCAGGCGGGGAACCCUCAGCAACCUCUGGGGCAUUGGGUAGCACCAUCCCCAAUGUAGGAGAAGCUGGGCAUUGUUUUUUUUUCUCUAGGGAGAAACUGAAGCUCAAGAUUAAGGAAUAAUUCUCUGAAAGUCUGUGUGUGUGAAGGCUGAAGUUUUGAACUCACAUUUUAUAAGAUGGGCUCAGGUGUCAGGCAGUUCAGGGUUGCGUCCUGGCUCUGUUAGGCAGGAAGUCAUAACUGAGCCUAUGUGUGUGGAGACAGGCCUGAAGACCAGCACCUACUGCGGAAGCUCCAGAAGCCCAGCGUCGUGCACAUCAAAGUCCUGCCCAGGUGGUCCCAGCCCCCGACCCCCUUCCUGGCUUUGGGUCAGCCCAGCUCCAGCUGUUGCAGCUGUUAGGAGAGUGAACCAGCAGAUGGCAGAUCUCCCUUUCCUGCUCCCCCUCCCCCACCCCGUCUGUAAGUCUACCUCUCAAAUAAAUAAAUAAAAUCUUUUUAAAAAAUCUGUUUUCAUUUGAGAGAGAGAGAGAGAGAGAGAGAAAGAUUGUUCUUCCAUCUGCUGGUUCGCUCCCCAAAAUGCUCACAACAGCUGGGGCUGGGUCAGGCCGAAGCCAGGAACUGCAUCCAGCUCUCCCACGUGGGUGGCAAGGACCCAGGUACCUGGGCCAUCACUGCCUUCCAGCGUGCAGAACAGGGAGCUGGAAUUGGGAGCAGAGCCAGGACUCGAACCCAGGCACUUCAGUACUUGUUGUGAGCAUCCCAAGUGGUAUCUUAACUGCCGAGCCAAGCGCCUGCCCCUUAAUAAUCACUUAAUUGUGAAUUGAGAGAGAGAGAGAAAGAGAAAGAAAUAGGUCAUUUACCUGUUGGUUCACUCCCCAAAUGGCAAGAGCUGUGCUAGGCCAAAGCCAGGAGCCAAGAGCUUCUUCCAGGUCUCCCACAUGGGUGCAGGGGCCCAGGUACGUGGGCCAUCCUCCACUGCU